CGAUGAUAGCACUAGCCUCCAUCCUCCUAGCCAUAUCCACUAUGGCAUGGAAGCUCUCCCUAUCUGCAGACUGGAUCAAGGAGGAAUACCUGGAGUGAAGCUUCAUGAUAUACCUCCUUGACUUCUUCUGGUCUGUGUCAAGAGUUUGUCCUGCAAACGGCAACAGCUCCAAGAAUCUGUCGAUGUACUCCUCUACACUCAUU
rnacentral:lncRNA from 1 species